rnacentral:rRNA from 1 species
UACGUAGGGUGCGAGCGUUGUCCGGAAUUACUGGGCGUAAAGAGCUCGUAGGUGGUUUGUCGCGUUGUUCGUGAAAACUCACAGCUCAACUGUGGGCGUGCGGUCGAUACGGGCAUCACUGGAGUUCGGCAGGGGAGACUGGAAUUCCUGGUGUAGCGGUGAAAUGCGCAGAUAUCAGGAGGAACACCGGUGGCGAAGGCGGGUCUCUGGGCAACAACUGACGCUGAGGAGCGAAAGCGUGGGGAGCGAACAGG